UGGCCUUGGCAUCGAUGAAGAACGCAGCGAGAUGCGAUAAGUAAUGUGAAUUGCAGAAUUUUGUGAAUCAUCGAAUCUUUGAACGCACAUUGCGCCUUUUGGUAUUCCGAGAGGCAUGCCUGUUCGAGCGUCGUUUAAAUAUAUAUUAAAAUAUUUUUUUUUAUAAAAAAAUUUAUUUAAUGUUUUGGAAUAUAUUUUGAAUUUAAAAAAUAGUUCCCAAAAGGAUUGAUAGCGAUCUGGAGAAUCUAUAUUGCAACGCAUUAAAGUUUAACUACUACGUUGACAAAUAAGAUAUAUCUGUGGUCUGCCAAAAAAUAUUUUUCAAUAAAAGUUUUUAAUAAAAAUUUAUAUUCUAGAUUUUUUUCUAAGAUAUUUUUAUUUAUUUAAAAAAAUUUAUUAAAAAAAAACCUUUUAAAAUCGACCUCGGAUCAAGCAAGACUACCCGCUGA
rnacentral:misc_RNA from 1 species